rnacentral:SRP_RNA from 1 species
GCUGAGUGCAGUGGUGCAUGCCUAUAGUCCUAGCUACUCAGGAGGCUGAAGCAAGAGGAUCGCUUGAGUCCAGGAGUUCUGGGUGUCCACUUUAAGUUGGGCAUCAAUAUGGUAACCUCCCAGGAGCAGGGGACCACCAGGUUACCUAAGGAUGGGUGAACCGGCCCAGGUCGGAAAUGGAGCAGGUCAAAACUCCUGUGCUGAUCGGUAGUGGGAUGGUGCCUGUGAAUAGCCACUGCAUUCCAGCCUGGGCAACACAGUGAGACCA